UAAGACCCAGAGUGGAUAAAAACAUCUUAAACGGCACAUAAAGGGUUAAAAACUCUCCAAAAAUUUUAACAGGUAUUUACAGAACAUUCCAUUAUGGCUAUAUAUUUUUAAAACAAAGAAGUCUUAUAUAGGCAAUUGCUUUCAUAAUGCUUCUGGAAUCUUCAAGACAUGCUUUUGAUUUUCUGCAAAGUGAGUGAUGUUCAAUAAUAUCUGUUUGCACAUCAUUAAAACAACAACACAUUGUUAUUAAAUGGUAAAUUACAAUUUCAAACACCCCCAUCAAGAACUGGAUAAUCCAAAACAUGCUGUUGGGCAGAAUAAGCUGGAAAGUGUGAGUUCUUCAAGCUUUAUGAGACUUGUUAAUAUUUGUUGACUUGUACAAGACUUGCUCUCCAUUGCUUGUUUCUCUUGCAUUACAAUGUUGACCUUUUACAUUGAGUUAAAUGUGUCUGUUUGAUCCAAUAGUAGUGUCCACAGCAUCUCCAGUCCACAAUAAGACGGCGAGGAAUCUAUCUGUAACAAGCUCGAAUGAAUCUUACAGUCGUCCAGUUUGGGAAUCUCCUCUGGUGAUGUGUGGAGUCGUUCUGCUGGUCAUGACUGCGUGUCUGGCGCUUUGGAAGUUACAGCAACAGUGUAAGAAAAAGCAAAAGCAUCGAGAGACAAGUGAAAUGAGCGACAAUCUCACUAUUUGUCCAUGGAGAGAAGGAGACUGUAAGAAUGCCUCAGUGAUUUUCCUGAACACUUCGGCUCAGAACGUCCAGUUGCUCUAACAGAAGACGGAAAACAACAAACUCAAGGACACUUUGAUGAUGAAGGAAACUUAUGGGCACUUUCAUUUUUUAAGUCUCGUUAAGAAGUCUAUUAGCGGCCUGAAGACUGGAGAAACUGCAGGUGGGGGUACACUCUCAGAAAUAAACGUACAAAAUCUGUCACUGGGGUGGUACCUUUUCAAAACAUACACUUCUAUACUAUAUAGGUCGACAUUAGUACCUUUAGGGUACACUUUUGUAUGUUUAAGUUACUAUGAGGUACUUUUUUAGGCAAUAAUAUAUAUUUAAAGGGGACCUAUUAUGCCCCUUUUUGCAAGAUGUAAAGCUAAGUCUCUGAUGUCCCUAGAGUGUGUUUGGGAAGUUUCAGCUCAAAAUAUCACACAAAUAAAGUUUUAUAACUCUUUGAAACUGACCCUUCAUAGGCUUUGAUCCAAAUUGUGCCAUUUUGGUGAAUGUAGCUUUAAGUUCAAAUGAUAUUGUGCUCUUUUAAAAAGAGGGCAAAGCUACAAAUGCCUGUGUCAGCAUAGGGGCAGAUUCAAAUAUAAGACUAAUGUCCUAUGCUAAUGAGGGAGAGAUUGUCACUAGUGGGCGGGGAUUUCCCUCUUUGAUGACCCGUACAAAGGGAAAAUGUCAAUCAAAGUGUUUCUGCAGACUGUUUUUUUUUUUAUCAAGUGUGAAUAUAGGAAAUAUAAUUAAUACAUUUUUUUAACCAUUAGAAGCUGGUUAUAUUCAUAGACUUCUGCCACACAAAUGUGUGUAAACUCCUUAUUAAACAGAUUUUUGCAUAAUAGGUCCCCUUAAAGACCUGUUAUAGGAACAAAAAUUUAUUUUUUGAAAAGGUACCGUCCCAGUGACAGAGUUUGCACCUUUACUUCUGAGAGUGUAAUAUCGGACAUUUCUUCAUGCACUACCAGUCAAAAGUUUAGAAUCAGUAAGAUAAGAUCAUGUCAAAAAGACUGCAAUUAAAAGCUAUCAUUUUGAGCUUUCUUUUUAAUCAAAGAAACUCCUAAAAGUAAAAUGUAUCAGAUUUUCAUUGACACUACAAAGCACUAUUAGAAUGAAUUGUAAAAAUCAUUAUUAGUGAUUUUUGUACCAAUAAUAACUGAUAAUAAAUCUAGUGAUUUCUAAAGGAUCGUGUGACUCUAAAGACAGGAGUUAUGAUCAUGAAAUUUCGGCAUUGAAUCACAGAAAUAAUAAUAGUUUCUGUGUGGUGUGGUGUGAAUGUGCUGUUUUGAACAAACACACAGCAGAAAAUAUGUAAAUGUAUGAACUUACAGAAGCACAAAUGAGAAGCAACGCUUUCCCCCCAUUUUUGAGACCAGGCUUAAGGGCAUAGUUCACCUAUAAAUUAAUAUUGACUCACUGUAUUCUCUUCCUCAAGUAGUUUUUAUGAGUUUCUUUCUUCUGUUUAACACAGAAGAAGAUAUUUUGAAGAACGUUGGAAACCGGUAACCAUUGACUUUCAUAGUAGGAGUAACAAAUGCUAAGGAAGUCGUUGAUUAAAGGUUGCCAGCUUUCUUCAUGAUAUCCUCUUUUGGGUUCAACAGAGGAUAGGAAAUCAUGAAGCUUUGAAAAAAGAGUGAGUAAAUGAUGACAGAAAUUGUGUUUUUGGUGAACUAUCCCUUUAAACUAAAUUAUAUCUAUGAGCUGUCUUAACAAAAAAAAUAACAACCAGUGACAGAAUAGUUUCAAAAUGCACACCAGUAAUUUGUUUUUCCAAGUCAUUUUUAUAAAAGCUGCUUAAUUACCAUGGUGAUGGUGAAUAAAUUGGUGAUAGCCUGGGUCUGUCUUAAGCUAAACCUUGUUUGUUAAACUGUCCCUUUAGAUUUGUAUUAUAAUAGUCUAUUUUUGUCCUGCAAUGUUUUAAAUCAGCAGUUAAAUAAUGAAAUGUUAAUUAUUACCUAUAGUGUACAAAAAAAAAAAAAAACGCAACAUUAUUUCAAAUCAUAUUAAAUCAUGUACAGUGGAAGCCAGAAUUUCUAGCCCUCCUGAAUUAUUAGCCCCCCCCCCCGUAUAUAUUUUUCAACACAUUUCUAAGCAUAAGUUUCAAUAACUCAUUUCUAAUCACUGAAUUAUUUUAUCUUUGCCAUAAUGACAGCACAUAAUAUUCGACUUGAUAUUUUUAAGACACCAGUAUUCAGCUUAAAGUGACAUUUAAAGGCUUAACUAGGCAAGUCAUUGUAUAAUGAUGGUUUGUUCUGUAGACAAUCGAAAAAAUAUAGCUUGAGCUAAUAAUAUUAAAAUUAAAAUGGUUUAAAAAAAACUGCUUUUAUUCUAGCUGAAACAAAUCAAAUAAGACUUCCUCCAGAAGAAAAAAUAUUAUAUGAAAUACUGUGAAAAAUUCCAGAAUCUGUUAAACAUCAUGUGAUAAAUAUAUGAAAAAGAAAAAAUUCACUGGUGGGCUCAUAAAUUUGACUUCAACUGUACUGUACAUGUGGUUUAUAUAGUAUAAGUUUACUAAUAUAGUCUGUUUACCACUAAAUAGACCAAAAAUAAUCCACUUUUGUCCCACCGCAGCAGUUCUACCAGUGUGAAAUGGGAACUAGAAAGGGAAACAUUGCUACUACCUAGAAAACUAAUAUAGGAAUGCUGUUUUUUUUUUUUUUAUCAAGUGUGAAUAUAGAAAAUAUAAUUUAAUACAUUUUUUUGACCAUUAAAAGCUGGUUAUAUUCAUAGACUGUUGCCACACAAAUGUGUUUGAAUCCAUUAUAUCGGACAUUUCUUCAUACACUACCAGUCAAAAGUUUAGAAUCAGUAAGAUAAGAUCAUGUCAAAAAGACUGCAAUUAAAAGCUAUCAUUUUUAACUUUUUUUUUUUUUUAAUCAAAGACUCCUAAAAGUAAAAUGUAUCAGAUUUUCAUUGACACUACAAAGCACUAUUAGAAUGAAAUGUAAAAAUCAUUAUUAGUGAUUUUUGUACCAAUAAUAACUGAUGAUUUUCUAGUGAUUUCUGAAGGAUCGUGUUACUCUAAAGACAGGAGUUAUGAUCAUGAAAUAUCGGCAUUUAUCACAUGAAAAACAUCAUGUGAUAAAUAUAUGAAAAAGAAAAAAUUCACUGGAGGGCUCAUAAAUUUGACUUCAACUGUACUGUACAUGUGGUUUAUAUAGUAUAAGUUUUCUAAUAUGGUCUGUUUACCACUAAAUAGACCAAAAAUAAUCCACUUUUGUCCCACUGCAGCAGUUCUACCAAUGUGAAAUGGGAACUAGAGAGGGAAACAUUGCUACUACCUAGAAAACUAAUAUAGGAAUGCUUUCAUGUCAAAUAUACAGGGUGUAAUGUACAGUAAAUAAUAAAUAUAUACUUGUAAAUGAAUAAUUUUUAUUUGGAAUCAUAUUAGACCUUCGUUUAAGCGCAUUAUUAGUAAUUUUCUUUAAUUUGUCAUUUGUGAUGCUGGACCACAAAAUCAGUGGUUAAUGUUUUUUAAAAGCAAGAUUUAUUGAUAAAUCAAAAACUUUAUAAAUAACUUUUCAUUAAUGUGUACCCACUAUGAUUAGGAUGCUACCAUUGGCAUACUGGGACAGUAUUUCCACCCGGGAAAGGUAUAACCUCAGGCCACUUAUCACUGGGGGUUUGGGGGUUUGUGAUCUGUAAGUGAAGAGUGGCGGGGAAGGUUUAAAUUGUUUUAAUGAUUAUAAAGAUUUUUAUAGCAAUUUCAAGAUUUUUUUAAAUCAAACUUUAAAUCAAAGCAUCACUUGCUUUUGUUCAUAUCUCGAACAGUUUCAAGUAGGUACACUCAAAAAAAUGAUUCAAGCCCUUCUUAGAUGUGACACAAUUAAAUACUGUUCCCUUUAUUUAAAUAUAUCUAUUUUUUUAAAUAUUCAUUUUCAAUAAAUUAAUGUAACAUAAAGUGUAUUAGUCGCUUAAUCUAUAAUCUUUAUUAAUCCAAAUCAAAUGAGUUCAAUAAGGUGACCCUGCUUUGCGCAUGCGCGAGACCGCGCGAUUUCACUGCUACCUGCAUUGCGUUUUUCCGUCCACCAUUUUCCACCUGUGGCUGCAGACGAGUUGAUGAGACGCCCCCGAUUACAAGAAGUCAUUUCUUUGUUUGAUCGUCUUUACAGGGUUCCUUCUGGCAACCUCUUAGUGAUUGUUGGUGUAUGUGGCAGUGCAAAGAAUGCAGUUUGGAACUAGAUAGCAGGUGACUGCAGAGUUCCUGCAAAUCACCACCAAGCCACUACAAUCAAAGUUCUUGUGACAGCUGGAUCACUUCUCUGACAAGCUGAUGCAGAUCUUCAAGAAGAAAGGAGGAAUGAAGGGGCAAAGGAUCAAGGAUGUCUGGCGAUUUAAUGAUUUGUGUGACAUCAACACCUGAAGGGAGUGCAUCCUGAGAAGCCUUGUCAUCUACCUCAGUGAAGAUCCUGACUCAUUCUUUAAGGCAUAUUUGGCCUCUGGCACUGAGGAUGUGGAGAGGGACAUCUCAAGCACAGUCAUGGGGAUUUACAUGAUCCGAAGUUAUGACAAUGGGAAGCCAGAUGAUGUGGGAAUUAUGAUCGAAGGCAUUAAAAGUCCUGAACAACGUAGGCAGUGACAUGGGUUUCAUCAUGCUGUUUGGGCUCAUUUAUGCCCUUGAUCUGAGCUUUCCAGAAAACCUCAAGUACACCCUUGAGUUCAUCCAGAAAAUCAUUAUGAAUCUGGAUGGACACAAGCUCAAUCCAAAGAUGCAGCAGCUGAAAAUCAAAUUAUUUUCUUAAGAAGUGAACGCCAGAUGACAAAUGCAUGAAGUUUCUUUAUGCUUUCAAAUUUGGGAUGCAUUCGUCUUUUCAGUCUUAUGACAUCUUUCAUCUACUAAACCAACAUUACGAAGUAAACUCAUGGAUGUUUUCCUUGUGACAUUUUACAUUGUGACUAAGCUACACAGAGGCAGCAUGUGGGCAAGUAAAAAAC